UUUCAUUAUUUAAGUUUUGUCAUUUUAAUAUUUUCUACAAUAAUUAUAUUUCUAUAAUACAGUGGUAUUCUUUACUGAACAAUAUUUUAAUUAGUAUUUAUUAAUUAACUAUAUACAGUAUGUGUGUUCAAUAAUGAGUAUUCAUAUUUCAUUUUAAUUAUGCAUUAUUUGUUAAUGUGUAGGUAUAUUUAUUAAUUAAUACACACAUGCAGUGUCAUUCAUUUAUAUAUUCAUUUGAAGUGUAUACAUCAAGUAUAAAAUAUGUAUUUCAUAAAUGACUUCUUUCUUCAUAUUCGUCUAUCUACUCGACACGCACAUCGUGGACGCUGAGGAAGACCUCCAACGCCUACGACUCGCAGCUGCAGGUCACGGGCGACGCCAGCGAGAGUGCAGAAGACGCGUUUGUGCGACGUGCAAAAGAGGGCAUGGGGGUUGACGAGGCCCAGUUCAGCGUAGAGAUGCCCCUGACUGGGGGAAAAUGUACAUGUGGGCUGACAAGUACCGGCCACGCAAACCUCGCUUCUUCAAUCGCGUGCACACACUUCGAGUGGAACAAAUACAACUAGACGCACUACGACUUCGACAACCCGCAACCCGUCCAGGGUUACAAGUUCAACAUCUUCUACCCGGACCUGAUCAACAAGCGCUCCAUGCCACAGUACUGCAGACAUCGCGUUCAAGAUCGUCAACCGCGAAUGGGAGUACUCGCAUCGACACGGCUUCCGCUGCCAGUUCGCCAACGGCAUCUUCCAACUGUGGUUUCAUUUCAAGCGCUAUCGCUACAGGAGAUGAGGGGCUGACGCUCAAGUUUGAAGACAUCUGGACAAACGGUUACGUGAUGAAUCUUCCUAUGUGAAUUCUACUUAUGUUAAAUCUACUUUCACCUUGUACUGCUGCGUUUUCAGAAUAUUGUUCUGUAUGAAGUGGAUGUAAAACCGUGAUGUUGCGUAAAUAAAAAUUAUCUUUACACCAGGCCUCGUGAGAAUAAGAGUAAUUUGAAAGAAACGGGUGAACAUAUGAGAACAUCGGCCCCUGUAAUGAAAGUGAUGGAACAGCACAUUCUGUAUAUUUUUUUGGUAUUGUAUAACUGAUCGAUUAUUCUCAAAUGAUCAUAUUCCAGUGUUUGUCUUUCUAUGAUUUUGCAACAAUAAAAACCUUUUCUCAACUUGUUC